rnacentral:rRNA from 1 species
UUUUAACGGUUAAGUUAGAAAGGGCGCACGGUGGAUGCCUUGGCACUAGGAGCCGAUGAAGGACGGGACGAACACCGAUAUGCUUCGGGGAGCUGUAAGCAAGCUUUGAUCCGGAGAUUUCCGAAUGGGGAAACCCACCACUCGUAAUGGAGUGGUAUCCAUAUCUGAAUUCAUAGGAUAUGAGAAGGCAGACCCGGGGAACUGAAACAUCUAAGUACCCGGAGGAAGAGAAAGCAAAUGCGAUUCCCUGAGUAGCGGCGAGCGAAACGGGAUYAGCCCAAACCAAGAGGCUUGCCUCUUGGGGUUGUAGGACACUCUGUACGGAGUUACAAAGGAACGAGGUAGAUGAAGAGGUCUGGAAAGGCCCGCCAUAGGAGGUAACAGCCCUGUAGUCAAAACUUCGUUCUCUCCUGAGUGGAUCCUGAGUACGGCGGAACACGUGAAAUUCCGUCGGAAUCCGGGAGGACCAUCUCCCAAGGCUAAAUACUCCCUAGUGACCGAUAGUGAACCAGUACCGUGAGGGAAAGGUGAAAAGCACCCCGGAAGGGGAGUGAAAGAGAUCCUGAAACCGUGUGCCUACAAGUAGUCAGAGCCCGUUAACGGGUGAUGGCGUGCCUUUUGUAGAAUGAACCGGCGAGUUACGAUCUCGUGCAAGGUUAAGCAGAAGAUGCGGAGCCGCAGCGAAAGCGAGUCUGAAUAGGGCGCAUGAGUACGUGGUCGUAGACCCGAAACCAGGUGAUCUACCCAUGUCCAGGGUGAAGUUCAGGUAACACUGAAUGGAGGCCCGAACCCACGCACGUUGAAAAGUGCGGGGAUGAGGUGUGGGUAGGGGUGAAAUGCCAAUCGAACCUGGAGAUAGCUGGUUCUCUCCGAAAUAGCUUUAGGGCUAGCCUCAAGGUAAGAGUCUUGGAGGUAGAGCACUGAUUGGACUAGGGGCCCCUACCGGGUUACCGAAUUCAGUCAAACUCCGAAUGCCAAUGACUUAUCCUUGGGAGUCAGACUGCGAGUGAUAAGAUCCGUAGUCGAAAGGGAAACAGCCCAGACCGCCAGCUAAGGUCCCAAAGUAUACGUUAAGUGGAAAAGGAUGUGGAGUUGCUUA